CGCACAUUGCGCCCGCCAGUAUUCUGGCGGGCAUGCCUGUUCGAGCGUCAUUUCAACCCUCGGAGCCUCGUUCGCGAGGAGCCGGUGUUGGGGCUCGGGCCGCCCCCGUGGCAGCCCGUCCCCUAAAUCCAGUGGCGGUCUCGCUGCAGCCUCCCCUGCGUAGUAGCACACCUCGCAGUACGGAGCGCGGCCUGGCCACGCCGUAAAACCCCCAAUUUACCAAGGUUGACCUCGGAUCAGGUAGGAAUACCCGCUGAACUUAA
rnacentral:misc_RNA from 1 species